AUGGCCACAUCAUGUUGAAACACCAGUUCCCAUACGAUCACUGAAGUUAAGCAAUGUUGAGCCUGGUCAGUACCUAGAUGGGUGACCACUUGAGAAAACCAGGUGAUGUA